GAUGAGCCCGCGGCGGAUUAGCUUGUUGGCGGGGUAAUGGCCCACCAAGGCGACGAUCCGUAGCUGGUCUGAGAGGACGAUCAGCCACACUGGGACUGAGACACGGCCCAGACUCCUACGGGAGGCAGCAGUGGGGAAUCUUGCGCAAUGGGCGAAAGCCUGACGCAGCGACGCCGCGUGCGGGAAGAAGGCCUUCGGGUUGUAAACCGCUUUCAGGAGGGACGAAGCCACUCGGGUUAAUAGCCUAGAGGGUGACGGUACCUCCAGAAGAAGCCCCGGCUAACUACGUGCCAGCAGCCGCGGUAAUACGUAGGGGGCAAGCGUUGUCCGGAUUUAUUGGGCGUAAAGAGCGUGUAGGCGGCCAGACAGGUCCGUUGUGAAACUCGAGGCUCAACCUCGAGACGUCGGUGGAAACCGUCUGGCUAGAGUCCGGAAGAGGAGAGUGGAAUUCCCGGUGUAGCGGUGAAAUGCGCAGAUAUCGGGAGGAACACCCGUGGCGAAGGCGGCUCUCUGGGACGGUACUGACGCUGAGACGCGAAAGCGUGGGGAGCGAACAGGAUUAGAUACCCUGGUAGUCCACGCCGUAAACGAUGGGUGCUAGGUGU
rnacentral:rRNA from 1 species